AUUGAACGCUGGCGGCAGGCUUAACACAUGCAAGUCGAGCGGGGAAGGGUAGCUUGCUACCUGACCUAGCGGCGGACGGGUGAGUAAUGCUUAGGAAUCUGCCUAUUAGUGGGGGACAACAUUCCGAAAGGAAUGCUAAUACCGCAUACGCCCUACGGGGGAAAGCAGGGGAUCUUCGGACCUUGCGCUAAUAGAUGAGCCUAAGUCAGAUUAGCUAGUUGGUGGGGUAAAGGCCUACCAAGGCGACGAUCUGUAGCGGGUCUGAGAGGAUGAUCCGCCACACUGGGACUGAGACACGGCCCAGACUCCUACGGGAGGCAGCAGUGGGGAAUAUUGGACAAUGGGCGAAAGCCUGAUCCAGCCAUGCCGCGUGUGUGAAGAAGGCCUUUUGGUUGUAAAGCACUUUAAGCGAGGAGGAGGCUACUUGGAUUAAUACUCUAGGAUAGUGGACGUUACUCGCAGAAUAAGCACCGGCUAACUCUGUGCCAGCAGCCGCCGCAGUAA
rnacentral:rRNA from 1 species